rnacentral:rRNA from 1 species
UACGGAGGGUGCAAGCGUUAAUCGGAAUUACUGGGCGUAAAGCGCACGCAGGUGGCUGAGUCAGUCGAUUGUGAAAGCCCUGGGCUUAACCUGGGAAUUGCAGUCGAUACUACUCAGCUAGAGUAUGGGAGAGGGCAGUGGAAUUCCCGGUGUAGCGGUGAAAUGCGUAGAUAUCGGGAGGAACAUCAGUGGCGAAGGCGGCUACCUGGCCUAAUACUGACACUGAGGCACGAAAGCGUGGGGAGCAAACAGG